rnacentral:rRNA from 1 species
UGGGGAAUAUUGCACAAUGGGCGCAAGCCUGAUGCAGCCAUGCCGCGUGUAUGAAGAAGGCCUUCGGGUUGUAAAGUACUUUCAGCGGGGAGGAAGGGAGUAAAGUUAAUACCUUUGCUCAUUGACGUUACCCGCAGAAGAAGCACCGGCGAACUCCGUGCCAGCAGCCGCGGUAAUACGGAGGGUGCAAGCGUUAAUCGGAAUUACUGGGCGUAAAGCGCACGCAGGCGGUUUGUUAAGUCAGAUGUGAAAUCCCCGGGCUCAACCUGGGAACUGCAUCUGAUACUGGCAAGCUUGAGUCUCGUAGAGGGGGGUAGAAUUCCAGGUGUAGCGGUGAAAUGCGUAGAGAUCUGGAGGAAUACCGGUGGCGAAGGCGGCCCCCUGGACGAAGACUGACGCUCAGGUGCGAAAGCGUGGGGAGCAAACAGG